rnacentral:rRNA from 2 species
GAAUGACGUGCUUGCACUGAUUUCAACAAUGAAGCGAGUGGCGAACUGGUGAGUAACACGUGGGGAAUCUGCCCAGAAGCAGGGGAUAACACUUGGAAACAGGUGCUAAUACCGUAUAACAACAAAAUCCGCAUGGAUUUUGUUUGAAAGGUGGCUUCGGCUAUCACUUCUGGAUGAUCCCGCGGCGUAUUAGUUAGUUGGUGAGGUAAAGGCCCACCAAGACGAUGAUACGUAGCCGACCUGAGAGGGUAAUCGGCCACAUUGGGACUGAGACACGGCCCAAACUCCUACGGGAGGCAGCAGUAGGGAAUCUUCCACAAUGGACGAAAGUCUGAUGGAGCAAUGCCGCGUGAGUGAAGAAGGGUUUCGGCUCGUAAAACUCUGUUGUUAAAGUAGAACACCUUUGAGAGUAACUGUUCAAGGGUUGACGGUAUUUAACCAGAAAGCCACGGCUAACUACGUGCCAGCAGCCGCGGUAAUACGUAGGUGGCAAGCGUUGUCCGGAUUUAUUGGGCGUAAAGCGAGCGCAGGCGGUUUUUUAAGUCUGAUGUGAAAGCCUUCGGCUUAACCGGAGAAGUGCAUCGGAAACUGGGAGACUUGAGUGCAGAAGAGGACAGUGGAACUCCAUGUGUAGCGGUGGAUGCGUAGAUAUAUGGGAAGAACACCAGUGGCGAAAGGGGCUGUCUAGUCUGUAACUGACGCUGAGGCUCGAAAGCAUGGGUAGCGAACAGGAUUAGAUACCCUGGUAGUCCAUGCC